CUCUGACAGAAUUUGCAAAGUAUUUCCCAAAAAUAUUUGCUACCUGUGUUUUAUCUGCUAAUAUUUCAUCAUCUACAUUUAAUGUCAUUUCCUGUUUUUUACUUUUUACGUGGUUAGUCUUGAUAUUUACCAAAUUCCAAAAAGCCUUUGCCUUGUUAUCAGAGAAGGCAACAAUGAAAAAACUCUUCAAAAAUGCAAGGACGUCAAGUGUAUGGAACCAAUACAAAAAGUACCUUAAAAAGCUCUGAGGAAAUCUAAGAAAUACUCGUGAAGGAUGCAAUGUAAAGAGAGUAGUGGAUUUGGAAACAAUUGCAAGUUUCUCAUAUCACAAACAGUUCUAUGCAUUACUAAGUCUUGACUAUGGUUAACCAUGUAAAUAUUUGAAAUGGAAGCACAAGAUGUAAUGGUUGGAAGCUCAUUCCUGAUCGAGUAGUAGUCUGUCAGUCAAUAGAAACGAUAGUGAUGUUGUUGUGUUACUGUGAUAUAAAUAAAGUGUAUUUCACAACCCCGAAA